CAGUAGCCACGGUAAUACGAAGGGGGCUAGCGUUGUUCGGAUUUACUGGGCGUAAAGGGCGCGUAGGCGGGCGAAUAAGUCAGGGGUGAAAUCCCAAGGCUCAACCUUGGAACUGCCUUUGAUACCGGCGAUCUUGAGUACGGGAGAGGUGAGUGGAACUGCGAGUGUAGAGGUGAAAUGCGUAGAGAUGUGGAGGAACACCAGUGGCGAAGGCGACUCUCUGGUCUGUAACUGACGCUGAGGAGCGAAAGCGUGGGGAGCGAACAGGAUUAGAUACCCCGGUAGUCCCUGUCUCUUAUAC
rnacentral:rRNA from 1 species